rnacentral:lncRNA from 1 species
GGUGGUUUCUGGACAUGGAAGUUACUUGGACAUGAAUGUUACCCAUUCAAUUUUGAAUGGGUAAUUGUUAUUGUCCUAAAGGAAGGAUAUGGAGGAGGUGCACCAAGUGUUGGUGCCCCACUUUUUUAUCGGUUAUUUCUCCCGAGAGAAUGAAGGGGUGCACGUCCCAUUUGAAUGUCAAAUGGGGGCACGCCCUAGUGGAU